AAAUGUUACAGCUCUUUUAGAAUUUGUCUAGCAGGCUUUCGGUUUUUGCUGGAAAACCUCC
rnacentral:snRNA from 1 species